GAUGAACGCUAGCGGCAGGCCUAACACAUGCAAGUCGAGGGGUAACGGGGGUUGCUUGCAACCCGCCGACGACCGGCGCACGGGUGCGUAACGCGUAUGCAAUCUACCUUGUACAGGGGAAUAGCCCAGGGAAACUUGGAUUAAUGCCCCAUGCCAUCACGAUACAGCAUUGUAAUGUGAUGAAAGAUUUAUCGGUACAAGAUGAGCAUGCGUCCCAUUAGCUAGUUGGUAUGGUAACGGCAUACCAAGGCAACGAUGGGUAGGGGCCCUGAGAGGGGGAUCCCCCACACUGGUACUGAGACACGGACCAGACUCCUACGGGAGGCAGCAGUGAGGAAUAUUGGACAAUGGGCGCAAGCCUGAUCCAGCCAUGCCGCGUGCAGGAAGACUGCCCUAUGGGUUGUAAACUGCUUUUUUACGGGAAGAAACGCCCCCACGUGUGGGGGUUUGACGGUACCGUGGGAAUAAGCAUCGGCUAACUCCG
rnacentral:rRNA from 1 species